rnacentral:rRNA from 2 species
CGUGAGAGUAACUGUUCACGCAGUGACGGUAUCCAACCAGAAAGUCACGGCUAACUACGUGCCAGCAGCCGCGGUAAUACGUAGGUGGCAAGCGUUAUCCGGAUUUAUUGGGCGUAAAGCGAGCGCAGGCGGUUGCUUAGGUCUGAUGUGAAAGCCUUCGGCUUAACCGAAGAAGUGCAUCGGAAACCGGGCGACUUGAGUGCAGAAGAGGACAGUGGAACUCCAUGUGUAGCGGUGGAAUGCGUAGAUAUAUGGAAGAACACCAGUGGCGAAGGCGGCUGUCUGGUCUGCAACUGACGCUGAGGCUCGAAAGCAUGGGUAGCGAACAGGAUUAGAUACCCUGGUAGUCCAUGCCGUAAACGAUGAGUGCUAGGUGUUGGAGGGUUUCCGCCCUUCAGUGCCGGAGCUAACGCAUUAAGCACUCCGCCUGGGGAGUACGACCGCAAGGUUGAAACUCAAAGGAAUUGACGGGGGCCCGCACAAGCGGUGGAGCAUGUGGUUUAAUUCGAAGCUACGCGAAGAACCUUACCAGGUCUUG